AGCGUGCUGCACACGGGGGCUGCUAUGCAAGAGCAGUAUUCUCAAGCGCCACCACCAUGAAGUGAUAACAGAGAUCUUCCCAGUAAGUGAUGGAAAUGGCCGUGUGCCCAUUGGGGCUGGAGCUGAGGACCCAAACCUGAAUCCAUAGGAACUGUUUGCAAAGGCUGCGUGAGCUUCCAAGUUGGAGUUUUGUCUGGGGGAGUAAUGCAUCCUCUGGGCACUGCAGGUUGAAGAAUAUCAUCAGCUCAGCUCUGGGCACUUUCCAUGGUGAAGUCAUGAAUCUGCACUGAUUGAAGCCCAGUUCUGCAUCACUUCCAUCAGACUGGGGAUUUAUAGCAGUGACCAUUAACCUUGCAGGAAAAAUCAGCAAGCAGACAUUCCGUUACAAUAGGAACAAAUGGUAAAUGAUGGCAUUAAAGGUAACUUUCCAUUACUUUUGGUGAUAUGAACCAGAACUACUUUUA
rnacentral:lncRNA from 1 species